UACGUAGGGUGCGAGCGUUUGUCCGGAUUUAUUGGGCGUAAAGAGCUCGUAGGCGGCUUGUCGCGUCGGAUGUGAAAGCCCGGGGCUUAACUCCGGGUCUGCAUUCGAUACGGGCAGGCUAGAGUGUGGUAGGGGAGAUCGGAAUUCCUGGUGUAGCGGUGAAAUGCGCAGAUAUCAGGAGGAACACCGGUGGCGAAGGCGGAUCUCUGGGCCGAUAUUGACGCUGAGGAGCGAAAGCGUGGGGAGCGAACAGG
rnacentral:rRNA from 1 species